ACCAGACUCCUACGGGAGGCAGCAGUGGGGGAUAUUGCACAGUGGGGGAAACCCUGAUGCAGCGACGCCGCGUGAGUGAAGAAGUAUUUCGGUAUGUAAAGCUCUAUCAGCAGGGAAGAAGAUGACAGUACCUGAGUAAGAAGCCCCGGCUAACUACGUGCCAGCAGCCGCGGUAAUACGUAGGGGGCAAGCGUUAUCCGGAUUUACUGGGUGUAAAGGGAGCGCAGGCGGCGCGUUAAGCCUGGUGUGAAAGCCCGCGGCCCAACCGCGGGACUGCAUUGGGAACUGGCGCGCUGGAGUGCCGGAGGGGUAGGCGGAAUUCCUGGUGUAGCGGUGAAAUGCGUAGAUAUCAGGAGGAACACCGGCGGCGAAGGCGGCCUGCUGGACCGCGACUGACGUUGAGGCUCGAAAGCGUGGGGAGCAAACAGGAUUAGAUACCCCCGUA
rnacentral:rRNA from 1 species